rfam:Pichia membranifaciens NRRL Y-2026 unplaced genomic scaffold PICMEscaffold_5, whole genome shotgun sequence.
AAACUUAAUAUGAUGAUUAAGAUUUUAACGCAUAGUUCAACUGACUCUAAUGAGGACAAAAACUUACCAUCAAAUAGUCUUUCACCCCUAUCUGAUCUAUGUUU